rnacentral:rRNA from 1 species
UGGGGAAUAUUGGACAAUGGGCGAAAGCCUGAUCCAGCCAUGCCGCGUGUGUGAAGAAGGUCUUCGGAUUGUGAAGCACUUUAAGUUGGGAGGAAGGGCAUUAACCUAAUACGUUAGUGUUUUGACGUUACCGACAGAAUAAGCACCGGCUAACUCUGUGCCAGCAGCCGCGGUAAUACAGAGGGUGCAAGCGUUAAUCGGAAUUACUGGGCGUAAAGCGCGCGUAGGUGGUUUGUUAAGUUGGAUGUGAAAUCCCCGGGCUCAACCUGGGAACUGCAUUCAAAACUGACUGACUAGAGUAUGGUAGAGGGUGGUGGAAUUUCCUGUGUAGCGGUGAAAUGCGUAGAUAUAGGAAGGAACACCAGUGGCGAAGGCGACCACCUGGACUAAUACUGACACUGAGGUGCGAAAGCGUGGGGAGCAAACA